rnacentral:lncRNA from 1 species
UUAGAUAUUUAGUCCUGUACAGUGGGUUAUGUGGACAUCACCUUGCUUCAACCACAUUCUACCACUAGGUGUCACUGUGGCUCUGCACCAGGCUUGUCUGGUGGCAAAGGAGGGCAGCAUGUCCCCCUGGAGGAGCCGCCUCCAGGGUAGCCCGCAGGCCCAGAGGGUUCAGGAAGGAGGGACAGAGGCCUGCAGAGGUGUCUUCACGGAUCUGUGCCAGUUGUGGCAAGACAAGCUCUUUGAACACUACCUGCUUUGGACCUUGAGCCAGGCAGAGGCUGGGAGAAUGCUGACUAGAACUCACUUGCUCUGGUGGAUGGGUGGGUGCGAGUUAAGACUCCUUUACUCCCCACAAGCACCCCUCUCAGUUCCUCUUGGCCUCCAACUUUUAUAACUCCAGAGAUGUCACAGUUGGGUGGUUUGAUUCAAAAAUAGUUAUUUUUCUACUGCAGAAAUGCCUUGGACAAAACCAGUUGCUCACUGAAUCUUUGCCACAAAACGGAACAGGCUCCCCCUCCCUGUCCCAGCCUCUCCCACCCUGUCUGUCUGUCCUUGGGCUGCCCACUUCUCAAGAAACCAACUUGCAAAGGCAGCCUGCUGCUGCUUCCACACCGAGGCCUGUGCUGCCCCAUUGAGUGCACAUUGAGAGGUGUGGCUUUUUCUCCUUUUCCUCUAGGAAUUCCAGACUGACCAUCUACCAUGACUAACAACAAUGAACAAAGGGCUUAGGGGUAAGAGCUACCUACAAAGAUGUGUCAUGGAAACCUUCACCAUGCAAUGCCUUGAACUCAGCUCUGGCUGCUCCCAAGAAAAGGUGGCGGCGGGGGGGCGGGGGGCCUGGACACAAGCACAAUGGGAAUGGUGGAGCCACUGUGCAGAGCUACUUGAAUAAUCACUGGGUCUUCAUCAACUCUUAUAACACAGACCACUCAAGGGCUGAAGUGUUGGUAACCUGCAUUUCGGUGUCCAAUGCCUCACAGCUGCUGAACCACCCUGAGAUGCUUGUGGCCACAUGAUGGCCACAGUCAGAGCUUUGCAAGUCUGUACCAAAUGAAUGCGUAAUUGGACACCAAAAAUCAAGUGUUACUUUCAUGUUUCCUCACCCAUAUCAUCUCACUUCUUCCUGCUGACUCUGAUAAUCUCCACUAAGCUGACCUGUCAGGUUUUAGCUGAACGCAUAUAGAUGCAGGCCAGCAUCACUCUCGUUUUUCAGACAGACUUACUCUCUGGAAAGGAAGGAGCCUAGCUGCUUUGUUUUUGUAGCACUUACUGGCUGGAGUUUUCUUUUGCCUAAUCGCUAACCAGAACACAUGGUUAGGGGGACUCAACUCAGUCCCUUCGGUCCCCAGGACCAGACAGACAGUUAAUUCUGGAAAUUCAGUACUUGAAUGUACCUGCCUUAUUGUGUACCAGCUUACUGGAAAAAAAAAAAAAAAAAAAGAGAAAUGCUGGCUCUAGAUCUCGCCUUCAUUGACAGGUUAUUUUGGGAAUCCUGUAAGUUACACUUCCUGUUCCGGUUUGGUUUUGUUUUUGUUUUUGUUGUUUUUUUCCUUUGGCUGAUUCCUGCUGAGUGGGGCCAGUUCCUCAUCAGGCUCAGGGCAGGUGCCAUCCUCAGGCAUGGCCUCCUUUCCAUUUAGCGCAGCAUCUCCGUCUCUGUUCUGUCUCCUCCAAAUCCAAGAUGAUUUUAAUUAGUACAGACAUGUACAGUCUACAAUUACAGAGUGAUUUGUACUAAUAUGAUUUUGAUUCCUCCUCCUCUUUGCUGUCCUUUCAAGACACUUGCUGGAAAAAGCUUUAAUGCACUUAGUUUUCCUUUAGGUUUUCUAUGAUUCAGAUGUAAAGGACUUUCUCUGUACAGUAUAUUAUCCAAUGCAUGUUUGUUCUCUCUCCCGAUAUAUUGAACACCACGCAGUUGUGAACUCGUGCAGUGGGGAUGUCCCACACCCAACAGAGGCAUUUAGCCCCCUGUGUAUAAGGAAAGACAUUUUCCUUUGCUGUACUUGCUUGAGCAGUUGUAUUGUCUGUACAUGUGAGCUGUGUGAGAUAGAUGUGAAAAGUUCAAUGAAUGCAUUUUCCUGCCCAUGUGUACAGAUCGCCAUCCGUACAAUGAACUGUAUGUAUGAAAGCAAAUGUACUUAUUUAUAAAGGGUAACACUUGGAAAAA